GUGUGCGUAGCAGGCUGCAGGUCUCUCUCCCCUCCCUCACCUGGUUGUGUGUGCGUAGCAGGCUGCAGGUCUCUCUCCCCUCCCUCACCUGGUUGUGUGUGCGUAGCAGGCUGCAGGUCUCUCUCCCCUCCCUCACCUGGUUGUGUGUGCGUAGCAUGCUGCAGGUCUCUCUCCCCUCCCUCACCUGGUUGUGUGUGCGUAGCAGGCUGCAGGUCUCUCUCCCCUCCCUCACCUGGUUGUGUGUGCGUAGCAGGCUGCAGGUCUCUCUCCCCUCCCUCACCUGGUUGUGUGUGCGUAGCAGGCUGCAGGUCUCUCUCCCCUCCCUCACCUGGUUGUGUGUGCGU